UUGGUAGCUAAGUUGGUAGAGCCUGAGACUCCUAAUCUCAGGCUCAUGGAUUUGAAUCCCACGUUGGGCAAAA